AGUUUUGGACCAAAAUUGCACCGAUACCUUCGAUGUUCAGUCAUAAAUGCAAUUAUUAACAUUUAUCAAACAAUAACUAUCCCACCUUAUAAACGCAGAUCAAAUGUCAACUUUCAAGUCAAUGCCAGUUAUUCCAUGAUUCAAA